rnacentral:rRNA from 1 species
AGAGUUUGAUCCUGGCUCAGGACGAACGCUGGCGGCGCGCCUAACACAUGCAAGUCGAACGAGAGAUGAGGAGCUUGCUCUUCAAAUCGAGUGGCGAACGGGUGAGUAACGCGUGAGGAACCUGCCUCAAAGAGGGGGACAACAGUUGGAAACGACUGCUAAUACCGCAUAAGCGCACAGCUUCGCAUGAAGCAGUGUGAAAAACUCCGGUGGUACAAGAUGGACCCGCGUCUGAUUAGCUGGUUGGUGAGGUAACGGCCCACCAAGGCGACGAUCAGUAGCCGGCCUGAGAGGGUGAACGGCCACAUUGGGACUGAGACACGGCCCAAACUCCUACGGGAGGCAGCAGUGGGGAAUAUUGCACAAUGGGGGAAACCCUGAUGCAGCGACGCCGCGUGGAGGAAGAAGGUCUUCGGAUUGUAAACUCCUGUUGUUGAGGAAGAUAAUGACGGUACUCAACAAGGAAGUGACGGCUAACUACGUGCCAGCAGCCGCGGUAAAACGUAGGUCACAAGCGUUGUCCGGAAUUACUGGGUGUAAAGGGAGCGCAGGCGGGAAGACAAGUUGGAAGUGAAAUCCAUGGGCUCAACCCAUGAACUGCUUUCAAAACUGUUUUUCUUGAGUAGUGCAGAGGUAGGCGGAAUUCCCGGUGUAGCGGUGGAAUGCGUAGAUAUCGGGAGGAACACCAGUGGCGAAGGCGGCCUACUGGGCACCAACUGACGCUGAGGCUCGAAAGCAUGGGUAGCAAACAGGAUUAGAUACCCUGGUAGUCCAUGCCGUAAACGAUGAUUACUAGGUGUUGGAGGAUUGACCCCUUCAGUGCCGCAGUUAACACAAUAAGUAAUCCACCUGGGGAGUACGACCGCAAGGUUGAAACUCAAAGGAAUUGACGGGGGCCCGCACAAGCAGUGGAUUAUGUGGUU